rnacentral:rRNA from 1 species
AGUGAACGCUGGCGGUAGGCCUAACACAUGCAAGUCGAACGGCAGCACAGUAAUAUCUUGCUCUUACGGGUGGCGAGUGGCGGACGUGUGAGGAAUACAUCGUAAUCUACUUUUUCGUGUGUGAUAACGUAGGUACACUUACGCUAAUACCUCAUACGACCUACGGUUGAAAUCAUUGGAUCUUCUCACCUUUCGCGUUUGAAUGAGCCGAUUUCGGAUUAGCUAGUUGGGGGGGUAAAGGCCCACCAAGGCGACGAUCCGUAGCUGGUCUGAGAGGAUGAUCAGCCACACUGGAAGUGAGACACGGUCCAGAGGACUACGGGAGGCAGCAGUGGGGAAUAUUGGACAAUGGGGGAAAGAAUGAUACAGCAAUACCGCGUGGGUGAAGAAGGACUUAGGGUUGUAAAGACAGGUUGUUGGGAAAGAAAAGAAGCAGGAUAAAACCAAGAUGUAGUGACGGUAACAAAAGAAUAAGCACCGGCUAACUACGUG